rnacentral:rRNA from 1 species
GACGAACGCUGGCGGCGUGCCUAAUACAUGCAAGUCGAACGCUGAAGGAGGAGCUUGCUUCUCUGGAUGAGUUGCGAACGGGUGAGUAACGCGUAGGUAACCUGCCUGGUAGCGGGGGAUAACUAUUGGAAACGAUAGCUAAUACCGCAUAAGAUUGACUAUUGCAUGAUAGUCAGUUAAAAGGUGCAAUUGCAUCACUACCAGAUGGACCUGCGUUGUAUUAGCUAGUUGGUGGGGUAACGGCUCACCAAGGCGACGAUACAUAGCCGACCUGAGAGGGGGAUCGGCCAAACUGGGACUGAGACACGGCCCAGACUCCUACGGGAGGCAGCAGUAGGGAAUCUUCGGCAAUGGACGGAAGUCUGACCGAGCAACGCCGCGUGAGUGAAGAAGGUUUUCGGAUCGUAAAGCUCUGUUGUAGGAGAAGAACGAGUGUGAGAGUGGAAAGUUCACACUGUGACGGUAUCUUACCAGAAAGGGACGGCUAACUACGUG